GACGUAACGCUGGCGGCGUGCUUAACACAUGCAAGUCGAACGAUGAAGCUGAAGCUUUUGUUUUGGUGGAUUAGUGGCGAACGGGUGAGUAAUACGUGAGUAACCUGCCCUUGUCUUUGGGAUAAGCCUGGGAAACUGGGUCUAAUACCGGAUAUUCUGCUUCUGCCGCAUGGUGGGGGUUGGAAAGAUUUUUUUGGAUGGGGAUGGGCUCACGGCCUAUCAGCUUGUUGGUGGGGUGAUGGCCUACCAAGGCGUCGACGGGUAGCCGGCCUGAGAGGGUGACCGGCCACAUUGGGACUGAGAUACGGCCCAG
rnacentral:rRNA from 1 species